GACGAACCGUGCGAACGUUGUUCGGAAUCACUGGGCUUAAAGGGCGCGUAGGCGGCUUGGCAAGUCCGGGGUGAAAGCCCCCAGCUCAACUGGGGAAGUGCCUUGGAUACUGCCAAGCUCGGGCGAGAUAGGGGUCGUGGGAACUUCCGGUGGAGCGGUGAAAUGCGUUGAUAUCGGAAGGAACGCCGGUGGCGAAAGCGCACGACUGGAUCUCUUCUGACGCUGAGGCGCGAAAGCCAGGGGAGCAAACGGG
rnacentral:rRNA from 1 species